GGUCAAGUUGUUAAGAGCACAUGGUGGAUGCCUGGGCAUCAGGAGCCGAUGAAGGACGUGGGAGGCCGCGAUAGGCCUCGGGGAGCUGUCAACCGAGCUGUGAUCCGAGGGUGUCCGAAUGGGGAAACCCAGCGCCCGUCAUGGGGCGUUACCCGUACCUGAAUUCAUAGGGUGCGUGGAGGGAACGUGGGGAAGUGAAACAUCUCAGUACCCACAGGAAGAGAAAACAAUAGUGAUUCCGUGAGUAGUGGCGAGCGAAAGCGGAAGAGGCUAAACCGUGUCCGUGUCAAGCCGGCAGGCGUUGCGGGUGCGGGGUUGUGAGACGUGUCGUUCAUCUUCUGCCGAGGGUGGGACAAUGUGGGCCUGUGUUAGCGGAACGACUCUGGGAUGGUCGGCCGUAGUGGGUGAUAGCCCCGUACGCGAAAACACUGGGUUCUGUUGUGGGCGUGUUCUCGAGUAGCAGCGAGCCCGUGAAAUUCGCUGUGAAUCUGGCGGGACCACCCGUCAAGCCUAAAUACUACCUGAUGACCGAUAGCGGACAAGUACCGUGAGGGAAAGGUGAAAAGUACCCCGGGAGGGGAGUGAAAUAGUACCUGAAACCGUUUGCUUACAAACCGUCGGAGCCUCCUUGUAGGGGUGACGGCGUGCCUUUUGAAGAAUGAGCCUGCGAGUUAGCGAUACGUGGCGAGGUUAACCCGUGUGGGGUAGCCGUAGCGAAAGCGAGUCUGAAUAGGGCGAUUCAGUCGCGUGUCCUAGACCCGAAGCGAAGUGAUCUAUCCAUGGCCAGGUUGAAGCGACGGUAAGACGUCGUGGAGGACCGAACCCACUUAGGUUGAAAACUGAGGGGAUGAGCUGUGGAUAGGGGUGAAAGGCCAAUCAAACUUCGUGAUAGCUGGUUCUCUCCGAAAUGCAUUUAGGUGCAGCGUUGCGUGUUUCUUGCCGGAGGUAGAGCUACUGGAUGGCCGAUGGGCCUCAACAGGUUACUGACGUCAGCCAAACUCCGAAUGCCGGUGAGUGAGAGCGCAGCAGUGAGACGGUGGGGGAUAAGCUUCAUCGUCGAGAGGGAAACAACCCAGACUACCAACUAAGGCCCCUAAGCGUGUGCUAAGUGGGAAAGGAUGUGGAGUUGCAUAGACAACCAGGAGGUUGGCUUAGAAGCAGCCACCCUUGAAAGAGUGCGUAAUAGCUCACUGG
rnacentral:ncRNA from 1 species